GUCCAUAUUAAUUAUAUCAAUAGAAAAAAGAAACCUUUCCUAGUAGCAACUUGGAAUAAAAUCUGGCAUGCCUUUGGGUGCUGCGGGAGAGGGGAUGUGUUUUCCUUCACCUUCCUUUGGCUGCCUACACGC
ensembl:snoRNA